UGGAGCUUUCUGGGUGGGAAAGAAGGACGUGGCAAAAGCAGCCGAAGGAUUCAGGGUUAACACUUUGCCUUUUGAAGAUAUUUCAGUUCUUGGAGGGCUUCCAGUCUGAAUUUGGGGAAUUCAUCAACAGGAAAACAAAUAGCUGGCAGGCUCUGUAUUUACUCUGCCCUUCUCAAGGUUGCGACAUAAAUCUCCCAACUUGGAAAGCAUUAAGGCCCAGGAGACAUUUUGUGAGUUCAGGGACUCUCCUCCAGUCUGCAGGAACCACAUCUACCCUCAUUUCGGGAAAACACAGGCACCAGCCCUCAAGGUGCUGCUGGAGACAGUACUGACACUGUUUGACUCGCUUGGGGCAGACUGGGGAAAUGAGAGCUGGAAAACUUGAGUUCUCCAAGUGAGAGCUGUUGGUCUGCUUUGGAAAAAACCCACUUACGCCAGGAGAAUGAAAGCCCUGAGAAGUUCUCAUUGGACAAGGGCCAAGUCCUGGGCUAGGCUGUGGAAGUCCAGAGAAGAACAUCAUUGCUGACCUCAAGAAGCUAAGGCUCUGCAAGGGGAGACAGGGGAGUAAACAGCUGCCAUGGAAGGUGCCAAGUGCUAUGGCAGGCAUGUGACCGGCAGGAUAUGAGGAUUCACCUUCAACUCUGUGUGCUUGUUGUGGGGAGAGCCCAACGUGAAGGGUAAAGAAAAAGCGGGGAAACUGCCAGAAGAGGCUUCCUACAGUGCCUGGGGCCUGAGCUCAGGCGUGGAGGACACAGUGGAGCUGGCCAGGCUGAGAUGGCACAAUCUGGAUUCUCUGACUUGAUGACUGGGGAAUGCUGGUUCCACAUCUGCACUGAGAUACUUACGAUAAGGGUAAACAAAAAUCCCCUAAACAGGGCAUGAGAUGGUACCAGGAGUGAAAAGGCACCACCCUGUUUGCCCAAGAAAGACCAAACCCCAAUAAUUGGGAAACACCACCAUUCCUUCCCCUAAAGCCAAGGCUCCUCCAUGCGAAGGGGAGGAUGGUAAGGCCCCCUGUGUGUGCUACACAUGGUCCUGGCAGAGAGUGCUGUGGCCAUCCCUCGCCCUUCCCCGGGGCCCGGCCUUCACACUGUCCGGGUUCUGUUUAGCAGGGCAGCCCCAUCUACUUGCAGUUCACCAGUCAAACGCAGCAGCACAGACCAGUUCCCCUCCACCUGCCUGCCACCCACACCGACAGGAGAUGAGAUGGGAAAUAAUGGGCCUUCCUCUCGCCUCCCACAUGAGCAUUUGAGUUAAUUCGUAUCUGGGCCUCAUGACUCAACAUAUUAUUUUGUGCAUUUGCUUUAUCACAGACUAGUGGUUCUAAUAAAAUUAGUACUAUUCCACAUUAUUGGUUCAAAAUUAGAAUUAUAUGCACAAAAUAGAUACAAUCUCACCCAGUCUUCUAGGGCUAAGCCAUGGAACUGACUGCAAAAUUUCUUCUUUUUUUUUUCACCUCUGUAGUUUCAUUUUCAGGUUGUUUUCAGCCCUUAAAAGAACAAGACCUAUUUCAACUGGAUUUUCCUACUGUUCUUAGGUAAGGUGAGCAUCUAAUUCAGUACCCAAACUGGGACACUCAUGAAAGUGAAAGGCAGGCUAUUAAUAGUUAAGCAAGGACAAUAGCAUAUGCCAGAGCUGCCACAGGCAAACUGUGACAGGUGGUCACCCUAUUUUUAGGGGCAGGCUGACCCUCUUCAAUAGUCAUGAAUUAGUCUUACUAAGCAAUGCUACUUUUUCUGAUGGCUUUAAAAAAAAAACAUUAAUUUGGGGCAAUCAUCUCAACAAAUUUGAGAAAUUAAAAGGAGAAGCAAAGAUAUAUUUACAUCCAGACAUAUGUGAUUGCUUGGGACUUCCUUUGACACGAAACUUGCAAAGUAUAAGGGGAAAUCUGGGCUGGCAUUUCUCUAUGCUUGUGACCUGGACCAAAAUAUGAAAAUGUACUUAUUUUAACCCAAGGCACUGGAAACGUUGUACAAGAGCACUAGAGUCUCUCUUCAUUCCACAAAAGUCAGAUUUGAGCAAAUGGAAAGUUCACCCUUUGGCUUGAAGACGGAAUGUACAUCAGUAAAUAUGAGACUGUUUUUCUAGGAAAUAACGCUUAUUUAGAAACAUCCAGGUGUUAUCCAGAGAGCCUGACCUUGACUCCAGGUUGAUUCAGGUGAAACUGGCUGUCUAGUAUUCCUGCCUUCAACUCUGCCACCUGCCAUCCAUUCCGCACUCUCCUCUAGCCAAGGAAUAAUUUUCCAUAUGAAAGCAUGAGAUAUUUUGCUUUCAGUUUUGCUGGUGAUCCUGAAACACGUGAACCUGAGGCAAAAAAAAGUAAAGUGCUGUACCUUUGGUCCUUAAAGCAGCAGUGAUUUCUCCAAAUGGGAGGGCUGCAUCUAAAAGCAUGCCACAGUCUCCCCACUACCAUGGCACAGGUUUGCGUGAAGACCCACUGUGAUAAUAUACAGGAUGGGCUAGACUUUGCUAACUGUAAAACACCACAACAAUGUGAGUUAUUUUUCUUGUUUGAGUGUUUCCUGGAUGGAGUUGAAAUAUUUUGACAAUCACAGAUUGAACUGUAGAUAUCUCGCCCCGUGGAUGAUGAAUUGUGUUUUAACAAGGCGAUGCUCCACUGAGUUGUAGGUUACAUAUUUCUCUGUCAGCAGCAGCCCACACUGAGCAAGGUAGACAGUGGUCUCGAGUUAGGACAUGUGUGGAGUCCCGGUGAGCUCUAGAGAAUAAAUGACUGCUAAGAAGGAAGAAAACGAGAUGGUGGGAAGGAAAAAAAGAAGGAGGGAGAGAGUGGUGGGGGAAGAAGGGAGGUACAGGGAGGGAGGGGAAAAAGAAAGGAAGAAAAAGGAAAAAAAAGAAAAAGAAAUGAAAGGUUCGGCAAGAACUCAUGAUGGUUUCAACAGCACAAUUUGCAAUUCAUCCUAAGGGAGCUGGGGUACACACCCGCCCAUGACCAUCCAAGGGAAAAUCUCACUAGAAUGAGGUCAUCUUUCCCCUCCAAACAACCAAGACAGAAAAUGGCAGGUGAAUUGGAAUUGCACUCCCACCUUGCAAUGUGUGGAUGAGAUUUGAUUUCUCUCCAUCAUGUGUGUGGUGGACCUCGGGCACCCAAGGCUGGCGUCCACACUGACGUAGACUGAAGACCCCAAUAGGAAGAUGGCUGAGACCUGGGAGCUGGGCGCCUCCUGCAAGGAACUGCUGAUAAAAAAAAACCUUUGUCAGGGCACAGGUGAUCAUCUUUUAUCAAAAUUGUUGUCCCUCCUAUCUCAUAACAAGGCUGCCCGUGUUGUGUGUGCGUGCAUGUGGAGGGUGCGUGCGUGCUGCUGAGCGGGUGCAUGCCUCCGUGUGUGUUUGAUGUCUCAUCUGGUGUGAUUAAGGGAGAAAAGGGGUGGGGGGACUGUUCUUUGUUUAUUUUGCAGAUAAAUCUCAUCUUUAAUCCGGAUGCACAGCAAUGUCUUGUGCAAAGGAAAGGAAGCCCCCUACGCCACCCCCUGACAUCCAUAUAAAUCACAGGUUUUAUUCCUCUGCUGUGAGGGGGCACUGCGGAAUGGAGCAACGUUGCAGACUCUCAUUGGGUGAUGCUUCAUUACUUGGUGGAAAAUCCCCAGGGCCAAAACGUUAUUUAAAUGUGCUAUGAAAAUAAAUGUGAUUUAUAUAUGUGUCGUCUGCUGAGACGUUCUUCUCUGUUGCUGCAGGUGCUGUCGUGCAUCAGGAUUAGCGCCUCAAUUUAUCGCCGGUUCAAGCUGCACACAUGCUCCGUGACAGGGUGUCCUCCGCAUCCCCGAAAGUUCCAGGAAGGAGACGGUGUUUGCUGAGUGGUGGGCUUUAGAUAUUUAGCAGUGUGGUUGGCUUUUAUGGGCUGAGAAUGUGUGUGUGUGUGAGCGUGUGCGUGCUCAUGCAUGCUGGUGUUGAGCCUGGGCCAUGGUUUUGUUUGAAAGGUGCAGGGAACAGACACUUUGUACUCAGAUGCAUCAAUUUCCAAUGGCAGCAGAAUGCUGUUUCUGGUUGAAAGAGAAAGAAGAAAGCGAAAUCUUCAUUUCAGCUUAGGACUGGGGCCCACAUGUUUAGCUCAAAGUGAGUGGAAAUCUCUGAAAAGCAGGUUUGGGCUAAUGAAUGUCAGCAGGCCUUCAAUGUAAAUGGGAUUUGAGUAGCCGAAAGGAGUGUUGUUGCGAUGUUUCCAAUACCAAAGAAAGAUAUAGAGGGGCAAGCCUUGUCUUAAGAGGAUGAAGAAGGUCCCUCCAGCUGCCCAAGUAGAGCCUUUUCCAGUGGGCUUUCAGACACUCAGAAAACAUGGCUCCUACCGCAUGCCACGGGGCACGAGACCAUUGCUCCAGACAAGUAAACCUGAGGUGGGGGGAGGUGGCAAAGCUGCAAACAGACACCACGAAUGCGAUAUUCUACAAUACAGAACAUGCCACAUCAGUCCUCACCACAGACUUGCCUCUGUGCCCCUCAUUUUAAGGAUGACAAAACUGAGGACCACAGAGGUCAGUAUCUCAGAGUCUGGAACUCUUCAUCCCUGGAGAAUCCAGGUCUUCUGCUUCUAGAAUCCUUCUUUGGGCAUUCUUUAAACUGGUAGCAACUCGUGUCUUGCCAGUCUUGUCUCUGGCUCCCCUACUCUGUUUUUCUUCAAGAUUAAGGGUUUAAAUGAUAUCUAAAGUAGGACCUACCUAGAAAAAAGACCUACAUACAAUUACUUUCAGAUUAAUGUGGGGAAGCAAACAAAGGAACUUAUGAAUAUAUUCUAUUAGGCUGUUAUUUUAAAUAAGCAACGGUCACUCUGGAGCCCUAAUGGGAAACCUUAAAAAAAACCUUUUUAUUUUGAAAUAAUUUCAAAUCCAUAUAAAAAUUUCAAAAAUAGUGCCAAGAGUUCCUGUACAUUUUUCUUCAGCUUCCAUGUUUGCUUUAUCAUUCUGUGUGUGUGUAUGUGUGUGUGUAUUUCUUUUCUGAAUGGCUUCGGGAUACACUAUACACAUUCUACCCCUUUACCCCUAAAUACAUCAGUACACAUUUCCUAAAUUCAUUUACACAACCACAGUACAGUUAUCAAAUCCAAGAAAUCAACAUUGCUAUAGUAUUAUUAUCUAAUUUAUAGACCUUGUUUGAACUUCAGUAAAUGUCCUACUAAUGUCCUUUCUAGCAAAAAAAAAAAAAAAAAGGAGAAAAAGAAAAAGUUUGUUUUCCACUUACUUUGGGAUUGUGUGAAACUCGUGUCUCAUUUAUGGGGACUUAUGUGAGAGGGUUAAGUGUGCUAAAGUUUUAGGCUGUUAAACUAAAAACUAAACCUUACCUUAAAAAUAUACAUAUGUUAUAUCUAUAGUAUCUUCACCUUGAUAAUUCUUCUUUGAUAAUUAUGAUUAAAUGUCCAUAAUAGGAAAAUUCAAAACCUUUAUAUCUGUGAACCAAAAAAUAAAACCAGAUUCUGCAUUCCUCGUGCA